GAUGAAGAACGUAGCGAAAUGCGAUAAGUAAUGCGAAUUGCAGAAUUUCCGUGAGUCAUCGAAUCUUUGAACGCACAUUGCGCCCACUGGUAUUCCGGUGGGCAUGCCUGUUCGAGCGUCAUUAUCCUCCCUCAAACCUCGGGUUUGGUGUUGGACCCAAGUUGUGUGAACAACUGGUCUCAAAGACAAUGACGGCGUCCGUGGGACCCUCGGUGCAACGAGCUUUUAGGAGCACGCGUCGAGUUUCAAGGACCUUCCGGGCCGGUCUCCUUUACUAUUUUUACAAGGUUGACCUCGGAUCAGGUAGGAAUACCCGCUGAACUUAAGCAUAUCAAUAAGCGGGGA
rnacentral:misc_RNA from 1 species